CCUACGGGGGGCAGCAGUAGGGAAUAUUGGACAAUGGGCGCAAGCCUGAUCCAGCCAUCCCGCGUGAAGGAUUAAGGUCCUAUGGAUUGUAAACUUCUUUUCUCUGGGAAUAAAAAGUGGGAUUCAUUCCUGCCUUGAAGGUACCAGAGGAAUAAGCACCGGCUAACUCCGUGCCAGCAGCCGCGGUAAUACGGAGGGUGCAAGCGUUAUCCGGAUUCACUGGGUUUAAAGGGUGCGUAGGUGGCUUUGUAAGUCAGUGGUGAAAUGCCGGAGCUCAACUCCGGAACUGCCAUUGAUACUGCUUAGCUUGAAUCAAGUCGAGGUGGAUGGAAUAUUACAUGUAGCGGUGAAAUGCUUAGAUAUGUAAUAGAACACCGAUUGCGAAGGCAGUUCACUAGGCUUGUAUUGACACUGAGGCACGAAAGCGUGGGGAUCAAACAGGAUUAGAUACCCUUGUAGUC
rnacentral:rRNA from 1 species